UUUGUAGUCAAUUAGGCGUUCUUGGUAGGCUGCACUGCUCCAUUCACUAGAAAAGUAACAAUAUUUCCAAUGUAGCAUGCGUGAAAUAUAAUAAUAGAACUCAACCAUGUUCCGAUACAAGCGUGCACUGACGGUAUCCAAUUCUCUCGAGUUCUGUUCAUUAUCUUAAGCAUGUCGUUACAUGUCAACAAAAAAUGUUAAGUUGAACUUGCACAAUUUUACUUGAACUCCCAGCUAUCCGUUUCUUAAGUAAUAUCAUUACAAAUUCUGCACAACAUUUUUGUUUGCAGAUUUGUUCUUCUCUGUUGAGUACUCUUGAUGAAGUAACCAUGUUAUCUUGUUUGUUGACGCUUCCAUGGUUUUUACCUCUGUCCCUCUGUAAGUUACUUCCAAUGGAAUGAAUGCAUUGCAUUAAUACUACCACUGUAAAUUUCUUGACAGAAAAAAAUAGUAGUAUAAAUUUAGUACCUGCAAAAAGAAACACAUGUUAAUGAAAAAUGUUAUCUCCAUGUUCUUCUCUGGUCGAUCAUGGUGACUGCAUUUUGUAUUAAUGUUGAUUGCAUUUGUUUCUUCCCUUUCCUUCUCUAAUUUCUUGCAACUCUUAUUCUCAGGUUUGGACAUUGUAGCUUAUCUGCAUUUACCAACCUUCUGCUCGACGCAUCAAGUUCCCAGAAAUCAUAACUCUCUAUGUUGCCACUGUCAAGUGCAUAAUGUGCAAGGUGGUCUGUUAGUUUAUUUUCCUCUCUGAAAAUGUGAGAUAUCUUGAAAUUACACCCCAUUUUGAGUCUGUUAAUUUCAUCCACCGCAUCCACAAUAUUCCAGGGUGGUUUCCAUUGCCCAUCUAUGAUUUUUUGAAGCAUCAUUGAAUCUGUCUGAAGCCAAACAUUAUGGAGGUUCAUUGUUUUGCACAUGGUCAUUGCCUCUAUUAUUGCUGUCGCCUCAGCUUCGUUGUUAGAACCCUCAUUUAUUUCUUUUCUUUCUGCAUGUAUCAAAUCACCUAUCUCAUCUCUUAAACAAAAACUAAUUGAACUCCUCCCUAGGUUCCCUCUUCAUGCUCCAUUAGUAUUCACUUUGAUCCAGCCUGUUGGAGGAAAUUCCCAUAUCACUUUAUCAUAUUUCAAUCUAGGUGUGUAUUGCUCCAUCAUUGUCAGAAAGUCUAGCCACUUGUGAGGCACAUGUAGUCCUGGUUUUUUCAGUUGGACUAGAGCUUGCAGCGUAGAUGACACCUGGAAAAUAACUCUUCUUACUGACACCGCUUCUCCAUAUUUCAAACUGUUUCUUCUCUUCCAUAACUCCCAUACAAUACAUGCAGGUAAAGCUUGCAAGACUGGCUUCAAUAUCUAUGUGCAACUGAUGUCGUCCAGCACUUUGCAAUUGCUUGUUGUAAAGACAACCCUUCUAAUGCAAUUCCUGCUCUCCUCAGGAAGUAACUCCAAACAGUCGUAGCUGCAUUGGAUGUGAAGAACAAAUGUACUAAAGACUCCUCCUUAGGAUCUGCACAACACCAACAUUUAGAUGCCAUGAAGUAUCCUAUUCUACGCAAGAAAUCAUCAAGUGGCAGUUUGACUUUUCACACCUUCCACAGGAAGAAAAAUAUCUUGAAUGGUAAGCCUUUGACCCAUAUCAUCUUGUAAGCUAUCCUUGAAAUGUCUCUUCUUCGCAGGUAAUCCCAUGCAGAUUUCACUGAAAAAUGUCCCCUAGUUUCAAGCAUCCAGAAUGGUGUAUCUAACUCUGCACUUUCAAUUGGUGGUCUAAUAUUUUGCACAAUGUGGUUUUCCAAAUAUUCAGGUAGAGUUUGAAAUAAUUUUUCCAAAUUCCACAUACCAUUUUCAACCAUAUCAUUGACAUUGUGAAUGUCUUCAUCAACUACAAACUGUGCAGGCAGUUGGAAAUAUAAAGCUCCCAUCUCGGUCCAAUUGUCGAAUCAGAAUUGAGCCAAUCACGCUCUCAAUUUCCAGUAGAUUUGAUGCUCAAUCAAGUCCCUGCAUUCAAGAAAUUUUCUCCACACUGGGUGAUCCACCCUUCCACGGUACAAUUACAGGAUUUAAUUUCUUGCAAUACUUUUGACACAUAAAUGCACUCCAUAAGCUGGGAUUUGUCCUGAAAUUCCACCACAAUUUGCAGAAAAGUGCCUUGGAUACAUCAUGAAGGGAUCUGAAAACCUAUACCCCCCUCCUCAUAAGGCAUACAGAGGUUAGUCCAUGAUGACCAAUGUCUUGAGCUUCCUCUCACAUUGCUGCUCCAGAAAAAUUUGGCAAAAAUGCUAUGUAAUUUGUUGAUCACAUAACUUGGUGGAUUAUGUGCUGACAACAUAUGAAUUGGUAUACUCUGCAGGACAUUUGCGAUCGAUACAACCCAGCCUCCUACAGAUAGGAGUUUGCCUUUCCACGUCUGUAGUUUGUCCAUAACUUUAGCAAUUAAACCCUGGUAAUAAUCACUCCUUCUUCUGGCAUAAAAAAUAGGACAUCCAAGAUAGGUCAUAGGGAAACAUUAUCUUCCUAUACCAGUAAUCCUUUCUACUUGAUGUUGAUUAUUGUUGAGGAAAAGUGCAGAGAUAAAAGCAAAUGCUUAUUACUUGUUUGUCCACUUAUUAAAUAUAAAGCUCCCAUCUUUCCCUUAUAUCUUUUUACUUAUUUGAUUCCAACACAUAAUAAUUUUCAUAUAUAUUGAAAUAAUUGGUGUGAGUCUUCUAAAAUUAGGAAUGAUCUAUUAGCUUCUCGAGAUUGAGUGAAAUUUGAUUAAUAUUUUAAUUUUUUUUAUUAUAUUAAUAUGAGAAGAAUUACAAUUUAUAGUAUUUUUAUGCAAUUUUUGAAUAUUUAAAUUUUAAUUUUUAAUUUUAGUAUACUCAAUUGAGCUAAAUUAAUUUAGCUUUAUAAUUUAGUCAAAUGACUCUCGCUAAAUGAUAUGUGUAAUAUAAAUUGAAACUUAUGGAGUAUAUUUGUCCUUAAGUAUAAUCACUACAACACAUAUUUAGGAGAUCACAUUUCAAUGCAUUUAAAUUUGUGAGAAAUUUCACAAAUCAACUAAUUUAUCUUGUUUACCUACUAUCGUAUGUACGAGUAAAAUCAGGGGUAAUGCUUGCCCCGAUUCCCCGAUGAGAAAACUAAAGAGGAGCACAGAUACAGGGGAGAUUGUAAUCGAGGCCAGACACCCUUCGUAUCGAGACCCUAGAAGAGUGAACGGUAUAUUCGCCGUCGGGCAUGGUAAAACGAUGCAUCCCAGGCCUAGUGUAAGUUCUAGACUUUGGGAGACAUGGCGAUGGUUAUGCAUGGAGGAUAUAGGGCCAUAAUUCUCGCCCUCAACCAGUAUAAAAGCAAGAAUCUCUCUUGAUGUUGAUUAUGAAUCAACAAUUACCGAAAAAGAUGUUUUUUGUCUAUUUAAGACUUGUACUAAGACUGAAAAUCUCCUAUUAUAUAAAACAGGUUUUUCUUUGAUACGACACACUGUUACACCCAAUUAAAAGCAAUAAAAGUUUCCUUUUUCCUUCUAGAUACUGUUAAAAAAUUUGCUCAC
rnacentral:lncRNA from 1 species